AGAAACCCGUCAUGAGAUAACAAGAAUAAAUCAUAAGGGAAUACUCAACAUAUGACGAUCCAACAUGAUAUACAAACUUAUACAUGUGACAUACAUGCCUAUAAGGCCGACAUGACCAUUUGUAAACUCAACACAUAGGCCAAUAAGGCCAUACACGUAUCCAUAAAUCUGAUAUUUGUCUACAAGCCUCUAAGAGUACAUAAAAUCAUAAGGUCGGGACAGGGCCCGCCAUACCAAUCAAUACAUAUCCAAAGCAUACUGACCAAAUAAGCAACUCCGGAGCAAGUGGAGUGCACCAACACCUCCGCUGAGCUGAUAGCCUACUAGGAAGACUGUCAACCUAUCAAUCGGGACCUGCGGGCUUGAAACGCAGCGUCCCCAGGCAAAAGGGAUGUCAGUACAAAUAAAGUACUGAGUAUGUAAGGCAGGAAAGCAUAAACAAGAACAUUAAUGUAAAGAGAGAUAGAGGAGAUACAACCUGUAACAUCUGCGUGCCUCUGGGAGCUACUGACAUGAAGUGCAUAAUACAUAUAUAUACAUAAACUUUUAAAAACAUACGCCUCUGUAGGCAUCAUCAUCAUCAUAUCGUACCCGGCCUCAAAGAGGACUCGGUAAAAACGUACCCGGCCAUCAUAAGGCUCGGUAGAAUCGUACCCGGCCACGUGGAGCUCGGUAAAUCCAACUGAUUAGUGGUUGCACAAUAGGUGUCGUACCCGACCUACUAUAGUGCGGCUCGGUAGAUCAAAAUAGAUAUUAUAUAUAAUGCAUGCUAGACUCAUGGAAUCACGUUCUAAACCUUUCAGAGUAACGUAACGUCAUUUCACCUUUGAUUAGCAUUAUGGACAUCAUACCAUCAAUAUGAACUUCACUAGGACUCAAGGAUCAUACAUACUUUCUUAGAAUAACUUUGUACGGAAAUAACAACAUGUACAACCUUAUUUGCUAGGAGUAGAUUCAUUAUGAAAUAGUGUAUCGUUUAUGUUCAUUUCAAUUUAGAUCAUGCCAAAAGAAAGAAUAAAGUGCCUUAACAUACCUUAACCAUGGUGAGUCCUUAAUACCUCCCAAGCUACUCUUCAAACAACUCAACUCAAUCCACCAUUACAUAAGGAGAUUCAAAAUCAGUGUUGAAUAAAGGCUAAAUCUGCAACUUAAACUUGUAGCUCGUUUAUAUAAAUUCGGGCAGCAUUUCCCCUGUAACAAGAGCCUCCUCCAAUAUAAUAUACCCACAAAAAUUACCAGAGAAAUCCAGCAAUACAUAAUCAUCAAUAACAAGACACCAUAAAACAACAACAAGUCAUAACUAUUUUACGACGAGCGACAAGCUCCAAUUGGAAUUCGUAUACCCCAUAUCAUCCCUUAUAGACUUUUUACUUUAAAUUAAUAGUAUCAUUAACAUGAAGUCAUUCAUCAGUAAUUCCAGCCUUAUACCAUAUAUCCAUAACAAAGAAAAUGAUCCACAACUCCAAUUAUUCUUAAUUGGCAACUUUAUUCACUAGUUCAUGUCUAGUUCAUCCAUUUAACUCAACCGAUGUUAAUAUAACCUUAAGAACUUAUUGGAACACAAUAUAAUUACCUCCUAAAGUAGAUGCAAGUCGAAAUCCAUGUUAUAUUUAGGUUACAACAGCCCAACAUACCCCAAUCAAUUCAUACCAAAAACAACGACUAUAGUAGUGUCCAACACCCCGAAAGUAUUAUAAAGAAUGACUAAUCCAUUAUUUCACCAAUAUGUGGUUUUUCUCCACAUCAUUUAUCCUCCAAAAACUCCAUUAAAUAGCAGCAAAAUAUACAGCUCAAAAGCUUCACGAAACAGCCCACGAAACAGUCCAUUACAAAUCAAAUAACUCGAACUCACGGCUUUCGAUCACCGUCCCGUGAGUUCUAAAUAUUAUGAAAUGAAUUAAUCAACCUUACUUGAUAUUUAAGAUCUUGAAACCAGAAAUUAGGCAUUUUUAUUAACUUCAAAAUACCUUCCAAAACUCAAACUACAAAGAAAAAGAGAGGUUAUAUAGCAAUACUUACGUCGUGGCGAUCGUUCUUGUGUUAUUGCUUCGUGAUUUCGUGCCUCGGAUGAUAGUAUCGUUGAAAAUCCUUAUGGAGGACUUGAGGAUGAGUUUAGGGGUGUUAUAUGGUCGAGCUCUCUG
rnacentral:lncRNA from 1 species